AAGGAUCAUUGUCGAUGCCUCAAAUCCAGAGAGACCCGCGGACACGUUCGAAUGCCCGGGACAGUCGGAGCUGCCCAGCGGCCCGACUUCCCAGAACGCCGGGACGGAGACGCGGCCCGCGGCCUCCCGUCCCGGCGCAACAACAAACAAACCCCGGCGCGGAAUGCGCCAAGGAAGCAAACAAUCGUACAGCGCGCCCCGUCGGCCCGGGAACGGUGCCCGCACGGUCCGCGACGCGACACUCGAGUCCAAAACGACUCUCGGCAACGGAUAUCUCGGCUCUUGCAUCGAUGAAGAACGCAGCGAAAUGCGAUACUUGGUGUGAAUUGCAGAAUCCCGUGAACCAUCGAGUCUUUGAACGCAAGUUGCGCCCGAAGCCACUAGGCCAAGGGCACGCCUGCCUGGGUGUCACCAAUCGCCGCCCCAACCCCGUGCCUCUCCGGCCACGGGGCGGGGCGAAUGAUGGCCUCCCGUGAGCACCGCCUCGCGGCUGGCUGAAAAUCGGGUCCGUGGUGGAUGCAGCGCCAUGACAGACGGUGGUUGAGCGUGCUCUCGAGGCCAGUCAUGCGGGCGGCCUCCACCGGCUCGGUACCCAGUGACCCGCGGGCGACAUCGAGCGCCCAUGACGCGACCUCAGGUCAGGC
rnacentral:misc_RNA from 1 species